AUGUCCUCACCGGACACUGUCCCCAAGCCCCUCUCAGGCAGGUUGGCAUCCUGUACUCUCACCCUGGAGGUGGCUGUGCAUCACUAGAUGAGCACAGGUGGUUUCUUCUUACACCCCAACCACCAUUCCCCCUGCCAAGUCAGAAACCACUAGGGCAGAGCUGGGUCUAUCAGGCCUCCCAUGGCUCUGGUGUGUGUGUGGUGGGGAGAAAGCCAGACCUUCUCACAGCCCACCUUUAAAAUUAAAUCACUCUAGGUCGACUGCAUGGACAGCCCUCCAGGGAUAGUCCAGAAGUUUUCUUGGACACUCACUUGGUAUGGACUGGGUUUUCCAAAGUGUCACUCAUUCUCUUCGAAUGAUGUGAGUACUGGCUUUUCCUGCAUGUUUCCCAGGCCCUUCCUUUCACGGAUCCCCCCACCCCCUCCUACCCCCCAGGAGACCUGGAACCUUAGCCCGAGGAUCCUUGCUCUCUGAACUCAGGUGCCACCACUCCUCUCCUAUCCUGUGGUUCCCAUCUCUUACUGGUGUAACUUUUCAUAAUGGCAGCUCCUUAGGUGGCCUGCAAGCUCCCUGAAGACAGUCAGCCACACAGCAUCCAGGAGAGGUACCCCUGUUAGCUCUGAGCAGCCCUGGUGAGGCCCUUGUUCCUGCCAUUCUCCGAUUGCUUCCAGACUUAACACUCAGCACCAAGGGGCAGACACACUGGCCAAGGGCAGCCUCUUCAGAUCCAAGUACCUGCGACCAAGGUGAUCUAAUUUACUCCCUUGAUUCUAUGAUGCCACUGAACGAAUUGGAUUGGCAAUCUAUGGCUGCAGGCCAAAUCUGGCCUAAUAACUGGUUUUUGAACUCACGCCCAACAGCUCUGUAACUCAUGCCUGAACGAAGCUCACUGAACACUUUCUCUCUCCAUGAAGCACAUCUCAGCCUCUUGCCCAUAGGAACACAAGAUAGUGCGUGAGUACUGCAUCUGGGGACGGUUUUAAACAGCAAAGUCACUAACAAAAAUGCAAGAAACAUGGCACUAA